UUUAAAUUUUUUUAAAAUUUAAAUUAAAAAAAUUUUUUUUGGCCGAGCCACAUGGCAUGCAGGACCUUAAUUCCCCAACCAGGGAUCUAAACUGUGCCCCCUGCAGUGGAAGCGCGGCGCCCUAACCACUGGACCGCUAGGGAAUUCCCAUGAAUGGAUUUGUUUAAACUAUUUUUUUCAAGUAGAGUUGAUUGACCAUGUUGCAUUAUGAACAGAUUUUUAAUUAAGGUUUACAGGUGAGUCACCAUAAAAAUGAUGCCAACUCUUCUCCCCCCACUGGUGAAGCCAUCGAAGGACCCUGCCCUUGUUUUGUGUGAAGAGGCCGUGAGUGAGUGUUGGAAGGUCCCCUCCCCUAACCCCACGUCUCAGAGGGGCAUUGCCUGCUGUUUCUCCUCCUCAGUCUUAAAAGAUCCUUCUGGACUUCCCCAUCACCAAGACACUCAUCUAUCAUGAUGACUAAAUUAAAGCAACUCGAAGAAUUGUUUUUACUUUAUUGUCUGCAUAAACGAACACCCCCAAGAACUUGCAGGGAGAGUUUAAGGGUGGGUAAACCAUACAUGUGACUGUGAGAGGGGCUGGAAGUCUCCUGUAGCAUUUUCCCCAGAAGGUCGGCAGAAAUGCGAACCAGUAAUUACUUCAGAAGACAAACUGCUGUGUCUGUGAGGAAGGAAGAGUGCAGCGUUCAGCCUCCCUGAGCCUCGAGACACUGGGCGGGCAGCACACGGGCCCACGUGCUCAUGGCACCCACUAUUACACAGACUUCCUGUUUCUGAUUUCAGGCCUUUCAGAAAAUUUCCUGUCAAAUGGAGAUCCUGACUGGUCUUUUCUGGUGCAUUCUUACUACACGGCAGAGAGCUAAUUUCAUAUCAUUGAGGAAGCUUUUCCCAAAGGGACUAAAACUGGGCUACUGGAGAAAGUAUAAAAACACGUGCAGGAGACAGGUUAGCGCUCAGGCCCAGUUACGCUGGAUGACUGUGAACGCUACACACUCCACAGAGGGACUCGGGAGCCCCAGCACUCAGCCCUGUGCAGGGCAACUUUCAACAGCUGCAGCAGGCCAAUUUCUUUCUGCGUUGAAGAAUCACCUCCUUCAAAACCCUUGGGAAUUCUCAAACUUCCAUAUCUAUAUGAUGUAUUACAUACAACGCCAGUUCUCCUUUUGGAAAAUUUGAUAUUUAAACACUAAUGAUGUUAAUAUUAAAAAAAAAUGUGUACAUGUCACAGGCAGGGAACGUUCCAAACACCACCCACACGACUCUUCACAACAACCUUCACGAAGUAGCAAUAGCCCCACUUUACCCAUGAGGAAACUGAGGCCAGAGGAAGAGGAAGUAAUUAACCCAAAGCCAAACGGCUAAGAAACAACGGAAGCAGGAUUGCAAUCAGCUCCAUUUGACUCCAGAGCUCAUGAUCUCGGUACCUGUUUUCCUCAGACCCUGCUUCGGAGGUCAGGAGACUUGGAUUUGAAUGCUGGCUUUAUUAUUUCUGCUGCCAUGAAAACUUGGACAAGCUAUUUUCUCUCCCUUAGCUUUAGUUGCCUCUUCUGCAAAAUAGGGAGAAUGACGUCUCUACCUCUGUGAGUUGCUUUGAAGAUUAGACGGCAUAUGUGAAAUGCUUCUGUCGAUGCCUGGCUCAUUGUAACAACCAGUAGCUAUCAUCUGUCAUUCGUCAUGAUACUCUGGAGUAGAACCAAGACGUGGUCCGGAAGCUUUGCUCAUCAGGGAGGAACUCUGAGCGUCUGCGCUCAGCCCAUCUCUGCCGGGGCUGCUGGUGCCUGGCAUCCUCCUCCCAGCACCGCACCUGCUUUGGGGCUGCUGUCCCGCAGCAGUGUCACCCCGCUCUGCCACUUUUCCUUGUCAGGGAGUCGGUGCAUCAGGAGGCGAUGGCGACACGGAGGGUUAAGUCAUUUCCUGGGGUCGCAAGGCUAGUGUAAGGAGGGGACGCUUCUCCUCCCAUUAUGUCUCUAUCCACUUUCCUUGAAACUGUGUGCCAGUCGGAGCAUUAUGGACAUUUUCAGCGUGACCACAUCUGGGAUGCUGGAGGGUGAUCUGGCCAAAAAAGGAAGUGGGUUGAAUUUUUAGGAAAGAGGAGCCUGUGUGGACCAGGGGAAGAAGCCGAGCAGCCUGAGACAGUGAAGUGGUUAUCGGUCUCCGGCUCCCGGGUGACGGAGGAGAGGAGAAAGGAGAUUUUCAGAACCCAGUUAUGUUAGACAUAUUAACAGAGGAAACUAACGUGACAGAAGAAAAAAACAAGAGGAGAUUCUUGGCCCCGAGGGCAAAGCAUUUAGUUGCCACAUCACUGAACUGGGCUUUGCAAAAGGUGUGUGCACAGCAAGAGUUGAACACAGCUCCGCUGAGGAAACAGCUAUCCCCCUGUGGAGCGAGGGCCCGUACUGCCUGGGACGUUCCAAGUCCCCGGCCAGUUACCAGGACACCUCCGACCGGCCCUCCCCAGCCAAGGUCCACUGUCCCGUUGGAGUGGGGGCAAUGGUGGGGGAACAAGAGGCCUGAUGCUUGGGAAGCAUAGAGCUGGUUCCACCCAGACGGCUCCUGGAAGAUCCUCAGACAGAUGGCAUUUCUGCAGGGUCCUGAAGCGUGAGAGCAUUGCUGGGAGUUGGCCGCAACUGUCUGGGCAGCACUGCUGGGUGUGGUGGUGGACAGGAACGGAAGAUUGGAGACUGUCUAGGAGGUAACAAGGAGCUGGUAGACGGAUGCGCUAACAGCAGGUCUCCACCACUGCCCGUCAAUCACCCCUCUGUUCAGCUUGCCCCUGGGAUGAUGCUGGGGAGACACCAAAGUACCUCGAGCACUUCCUCAGGAUGGCUUGUUUCUCAUGACUUCACCAUGAGAAAAGAAGAUGGAUUUCUCAACCACUUCCUCCUGCAGGAGGUAAACCUGGAGUGCCUUCGGGUUUCUGUGCAAGCAGGUAGCGACGGGAGCACUGCUGGUUGAUAAGAGUCAUCAGGGGUGGCUGCCUUUCUCAGUUGGAUUUCAGGUCCAGGAGUUUGAAAAGUGCCGUGAAGUAGAUCGUGCAAGCUCCUGAAACAGCCGCUAAAAGAACCGUUUGUAUUCCGCCAAUGAUCUUCAGAAAGGAGAGAUGCAGCCUCCCUUGAAAAGGCUAUCCUCUGACUUCUCCAAAGUUAGCCUGACCCACUGGCAGAGAUGCCUGCCUACACUGGGGAGACGCUGGGCUGGAGUCAGUGUGGUCUUUGUCUGUUUACUGGAUCCUGGGACACCGGGAGGGAGGCUGCAUGGAGCCUGUUAGUUUGGGGCAUGAAGUAAUAGAAGAGCACUUAGUGGAAGUAACCAUCACUGGGAUCCUCCUUCUUGCCCCCAGACAAGCUGUAAAAGUGAAUUUGAGCUCCGUGGAGAUAGGCAAGCGAUCCUGCUUUAUAAUGAAGAUGACCCAGCAUAACUUCCUGAUGGUCCCCCAGCUCCCUGGCUCUCUCCCCUCAACUUUCUUUGCUGAUCCGACCCCAUCUCGCGAGAGUUCUGUCUCUUUCCCAGUCUUUCCCGCAGGCAUCUCAGCCAGGUCCUGGGUUAGACUGGAUUACUCCGGGCCGGUUAUUUCUCUGUCUUCAUCUCCAGGUUCAAACUCUGUUCUGAACACUAGUCUUGUAUAUUCUCUGCAUACCCUUCCCAUAUAUACCCUCUAGUCUCUUCUCCAGCCCCCCGCCCCCCCCCCCCCAGCUACACUGGUGCUUAAAACCUUUCAGAAGGUUCUUAUUGUUCAAAGGAUAAGAUCCAAAAUUCUUAACAUGCCAACAAAAGCAUGCGUGACUGGCUCUUCUUUGGCCUCAUCUCUGGCUGCUCUGUCCUUUCUCCCUUCCUUUCCAAUGGGCCCAGCUCUGUCGCACCUCAGAGCUUCAAAUUCACCAUUCCCUUUACUUGGAAUGAUCGAUCCAACUCAAAUCAUCCUUCAGAGCUCAGCUGGGCCCCCUCUAAUCCCUUAGAGCUAGGUUAACUCUCAUUAUAUGCUCCGCAUCUUUAGCAGAGACACAAACAGAACUAUUUGUAAAAUGAUUUGUUUACUAUCUGUCUCCCUCAGAUCGUAACGAUGACACAGCUUAUAUCCCUACCGCCUGGUACAGUGCCAGGUGUUGAGUAAAGGCUCCGUAAAUGGAUUACUAACUGAACGAGUUUCGGUAUUGGGGGCUAAUUUCACUUCCCAAUCAUGCGAAUGUUCAUCUUGACUGUAGACGGAGCUUCAUCUCUGCAGGUUAUUUUUAUUUAAUGGAGUGGCACUAAGACUGAGGCUGUGGAGACACUUUUUCUCUCCCUCGCUAGGCCCUGACGGCAUUGCGGCCUGGCCUCCGGUCGGGGGUGCACACUGGCGCCCUGUAUGGGGCUUGGACUAAGGAGAGAGAGGCUCUGGAUGGUUUCGCCUCUUUGGGACCAUUAUUUGGUUUUCGCUUUUUUCUUUUCCCCUUCUGUAAUUCCCUUCCGUUUCCCCAAGACGUCUGUUCAAUCUGACGUGAACCGUGACCUCACAACUUGGUCUUGGCCGUGCUGCUAGGCAAGGGAGAGGCCACGCCUCCCCCUCGGGGCAAAACUGGAGGAGAAAAAGGCUAAGAGGCAAUGUGCAGCAGAGGGAACAGGAAUCAGGAGCAAAAAGGCCAGCGGAGGGAAGAAGGGCCAGCAGGGCAAGAUCUAGAGAGAUGAUCGUAGUCAUGAGGACCGUGCAGGCAUAUCUGGGGAGGGGCAAGUGGACAACGCCUGGACUUUUCUGAGGUCGCACAGCAUGCCAGUCACUGACUCCUUGCCUGUCAGCUCCAAAUUCAUCCUUUUUGCCGUCUCUGUAAGAAGGGAUCUGGGCCUUUUAUGUAAUUUCCCUUGCCAGCUGCCUCGUCGUUAGCUUUGUCAGUGUGGGCAGAACUUGCAGGAGGGCAGAACUCUGCCUGCCAGCUGCCUUGCUUGGCUGGCUCCUGCAUUUUGAGGGGUUUCUCCAGAACCAGGAUCCUGAAGUGCAGGGAAGAAGCCAGGGGCCACCGGCUUCUUCUGGCACCUCUCCUUCUGGGUGGUUUUGCAGCGAACUGCUUCCAUGAGGCAUCUCCCUCUAUACAACUUUCCCCGCACCCUAGAGGGUAGAUUUCCAGCAAGUUCCACUGGCGUGAUACCACAGUGACUUCCCUGGCACUUAGUGAACCAUAGCCAUGCUCUCCCCAGCAAGGUCUGGGUCUCAGGCUCGGGUAGGGGAGGGAUAAGGGAGCACCCUUAUCCUUGGGCGCUCUAUCUCGGCCCCAGGGGUAGCGGCUGCUUUAAAAAUCUUUGUAUCUGCUGUUCCUAUUUUCUUUCGCAUUCUCUUUACUUCUAACCACUCAAUCCCUCAUUGCUCCAAAUCCUGUCAUAGUUAAUAAUUCUUCCUAUUAAA